UUAACUGGAACACGAGCGAAGCUUACGAGGGUUAUAAUUAUUCCCAGCUGCCCAGAAGAAUAAAUCACAACACAAGAUCAAAUCAACAAACAACUCACCCUCGAGAAGCGCCUCUGAUGCGCAUGUGCCGGAGUACAGAUGCUCGUUCCAUUAACAAUGAAGGAUCAUGGAGUAACCUUGAAUUAUUAGUGGUAAAUAGCACAUCCGUAGUAAAAAAAAAAAAAAAAAAAAAUAAACUGAUAAAUUUUGAAAAAAUUUUAAUGAUAUUUCGUUGAAUAUUAUUCACAAUCUUGAACAUUUUGAUCGGAAAUUUUAUCAAAAUUUCAUCAAAAAUGUAUUAGUUUUAAUAAAAUAUUGUUAAUUUGC
rnacentral:lncRNA from 13 species